GGGGUGUUAUUGUUUUUUUUUUUUGUUUUUUCAAAUGCGCAUAUCUGGGAUUUCCCUAUAUGUCUUACCAUUUUUAAUAUAGGGAAUUAAAUACACACGCUGCUCUGUGUCGUAUUUCGCUAAUCAAAGAACUGCAACAGGACCUGGUUGGCACCGGCUUAGUUCCCUACCCAAUCCAUACUGUAUAGAUCAUCUACGGUCGCGCUCAAUGAGGUGAAAAUUGAGUAUCGCUAAGAGAUGCUGGUUAUCCCCGGGCACGUGAUCUAAUCUGAUCCGGUCAUUCUCGGGUGGGGGGUUGUGUUAUGUACAUAAGGUCGUGUGUUGGCUUUUCUUCCGAAGUGCCACCGCUCCGCCUCCUCUUUUCGCAAUAUUGACGCAAUGUAUAAAUACUGGAACAAAAGGAGAACUUCCUCGAAGCUUGCUGAAACUGCACAAAAGGCUGCAAGCCUCAUUGUUAGGCAGAUGGGCAUCUCGAACUGGAGUAUAUUUUGCUAGAAUCUGAAACGACAGGUCAUCGUGCAAAUACGAAGGACUGUGCAUCCCGUGUUUCUUUGGCGCAUAAUCCCUGAAUCCACCAGAUUUAACGCAUUGGUCACUCAACCCCCUGCGUGGUCCUGAAAAAUCAAACAACAGGUGAUACCAUGUAAAAUGAGAAUAAUUUAAGGACUAUCAGAAGAGGAUACUGAUGCUGCAAUCAAACAGGGGAGAGGGACAGGGCAGCAACCAACUCAGGGAAGACAGAUGGGAAAGAAAGUGAAACGUUUGGAUAUUCGUUCUUUAAAGCUGCUGGAACCUGCAGUCCUGUAUAGUUGUACAACCAAGUAUAAAUCUUUUGGUGGAUAUUUUCAGAAAGCAUAUCGACUAGGUAGUUUGUUUACGGUACUCGGUAGCAGUGCUGCUACUGGGAGAUUUAUAAACAGAAUCUUCCAUUUAAGCUCUCUCUUGCCUCAGGAAAGCAACACAAGUUAUGUGUUGUUACAUUGCUCACGUUUUACAGUGAACGUCAAAAGAGCUGCUGUUAUGUUAUGUGCUUUCAUAGUAACAACCUUCUGAAAUAGGCAAACACACCAGUUCUCUUUCAGUAUCCUACAUUAAGUGAAUUUGCAUUUCCUGGAUUAUAUGGUACAGAACAUCAUUUUAAAUUACAAUGUACUUUCCCUUUAAAAUGCCCACAAGUCAAAAGCUUGGGGAAGAACCCUAUACCCUGAGAUAGUUUUUAUUUUAUUUUAUUGCUAAGCCCAUUUGUUGUUUUAUUAACUUUUUUUACUUUUGUUUUUAUUUUCUGUAGUACAUGUUAGAAUUGAGGUUUAUGCAAAAUGUGUCUUAGUAAUUAGAGACAAAAAAAAAAGCACUGUAUAAUGAAAAUAUGUGUUUUUGUGGAAUACCAGAGAGCCAACAGCUUACAAUAUACAUUGCAUUGAGUGUUGUAGUUCACACCCAGCCAGCUGAAAUGUUAAGCCCCAGUUCCAAUCAAGCAGUUAUGUCUCGCUCUUUGAUGAGCUGGUUCAAACUGAGUGUGCCUACAGCUGUAAGGGUUAUAUGUAGUGUGAGCCUGAAGUGUAUAUAUCUAUAAGUCUAGUAGAAUUAAGAAUUAAGUGAAUUGUCAUUUUUUUGUUCUUGGUUGUGCCAGUGGCUUCUCAGAUUAAUUGUGUACAAGUAUAGUAACAAAUGUGUGCAUGUAUGUGGUACAUGUUAUGCAUUUACAGAUACCCAUAGUAGUGCAUGUACUUUGUGCUAAUAAAGUAUGUUGAGAGGAUGAAAGCUUUGCAUUCAAGGAAUAUGUAGCUCUCCUGUUCUUUCUACAGUGAAAAUAGUGCUUUUAUGUUUAUUUGUGGUGUUUUCCGCUCUACAAAUCUUGUGUUGUACGGAGCCAGGCCUUUAAGAGACUUCUUACAUAGUAGUUGGGCCUUGGUGUCAUAGAUCUUUUAGAUCUAAGGCACAGCCAACCAGACAAAGACGGGAAGGGUGUAAGGUAACCUCUUCACUGUCAAACAGUCACAUCAGGGAUGUUAAUGGGUGCCACUGUGCUGCAAACAAUGUUAAUGGAUAAUGUCAUGUCUACAUCUACAUUGCAAACAUAUUCUGUUCAUUUUUGACACAAACACAAUAGGACCUAUUCAUAUCUUGAUUAAAUCAGCAACCUCUGAAGCUUAACCCUUGGAAAGAAGAAAAACACAUGUAGCAUUGAAACAAUGAUGUAUCUUAAGCAGUGUUUGUGUUUACUUGCAGUCUGCUGAAGUAUGCUGUCCAUCAAGUUUUUUUUUUUUUGUCUCUAAAAAAAUUUAUAUUGGCCUGUUUAUUUGAGUUUUUUUUUCCGUCUUGCUAUGUAAUUCAUGUCUGUUGGUGAAAUGUGACCAAACCCUAUCAUUUACUGCACACCAAUAUAGAGGCCUAGAACAGAUAAUAUAACGAGUAAAAUCACUUCCCAUUGGCUUUACUUUUAAUGAGAUCAUAACACAGCAGAAAGCAGAAAAUAAAAAAUUGAAAGAAUUCUUCCUGUAUCACAUAUGGUUUUGCAUCUUUUACAUCUUCUUUUUGAAGAUGGCACUUCAACUCUGAAAGGAGAUGUAUCAAAAUGUCCCUUGAUGUGAUUGCAAAAGGACUGGGGUUGCUUUAGUGAGUCUUGUGUCAUCUUUCCUGUUUUUUCUUUAUAUACUUUUUUACUUCAUAUUGUUUAAGGCAAUGCAUCAGUUCUUAUGUUGUGCAAAUACACUUUCAUGCAUACCCAACUAGUUGGCACAUAUUUGAUUCUAUAAUGCUGUAUGUGAAGGCUACAACCAAUUUGGGCUAAGACCAACAGAGAAGGUCUUAAAGGGACUUCAGAGUGCCAUUGGAUGGUUUGGGCAGUUGCUUGUACAAAACUUGUUUUGUGUUAUAUUGCAUGUAACCUUUAUAUUCGAUAAGAUUGAUUCUUACAGGUUGUGACCUAUCCAAUAUAAAUGAAGUAGACCAGAAGGCAAGCCCCUUAGUGGUUGUGCAAACACCUCCAUAAUGUUUAAUAUAGGAUCGAUAUGUUGGGUCCCUUUACUGCAAUCACCAUGUCAUUUUAAUUUUAAAUUACUUUUAGUGACUUAAGUUUGGUCAGGAGAAAACUGGAAAUGAUAUGUAUGUCUUUUGUAAUCCAUUCCUAAUCAACUAAGCUAAAAACAAAAACUCAGGCUUUGCUUUUACAAAAAGAGAAGUGCAAAACAACACAGCAGCCCAACUUAAAAUAGCCGUGUAAAAUGUACCACAACACCUCAUCAAAUAGGAACAGUAAAAGGUCUGUCAAUAAAAAAAGGAGGAAAGAUGUAGAAAUAAGUAAAUGAAAUAUCAGAAGAUUGUAAUGCAGCUGGAUCGGAUCACUUUGUCCCUUGGACAAUUAAAAAGAAAAAGGUUGCACAAGCUUUGCGUUUUCACUUGCUCAUAUAAACCUUGUGUAAGUCCAUAAAAACGAGGAAGCAUUUAUGUUUUGUAACUGUUGUAACAGUUGUUAUUUUAUUCUCAUGGUAUAUCUACAAUAAAGGCAUUAGCUGAAAUAUUGUUCUACAGGCAGUAUGUGACUAUUUCAGUCCUGUUUCUUGGUACUACAUUUUGUUAAUUCACAAAAUACAUAUGCCUAUUUUAGACCAACUAUGUUUACUUUUGAAUAGUUGAACUGAACUAAUAUAAACCUUGUCAUUGAUAUCAAAAUAAACAUUGCUGCAUAUUAAUUCCAAUAUGAAUCAUAUUUUUUCUCUGAUAAAAGAUUUUAAAAAAUAUCCUUGAGUUCAGUUGUGUAAUACCAUGGUCUUGCCUACAUUGCUUAAAAUGCAUUUGUAAAGUUCAGCUUAUAUGUGCAUCAUAGAUAUAUGCAUGGUGUGUGGUUGUACCCCGUUCUUGUGCAUUUCCUUGUUUGAACCAUGUGCUGUGUAGUGAAAUGUGCAGUGUGGCAAUGAUUUUAUUUUUAUUUUUUUACACAUCCACACCCCAAAUGGCAGUAAUGCUGUGGGUUAGUGAAUUUAGUUAUAGAGUGAUGCAUGCUGUCCAAAUGUGCCUCCAGGCAAGCAGUGUUAAAGACUACUGAACCUUAUCCCAGAAAAAAUCAAAAGUCAUGGCACUUCUCGUAUAUGAAUGUUGUAGCCAUUAUUUUAUUAAAUCUAACUACUUUUUGUUUAUAUAUUUUGGAACUGAGUUUAAAGAACUGGAUUGAGAUUUUAUUGUGUAAUACUGUUAUUAUUAUCCAAGUAUUUUUUACCAUUUUGUAAUAUGAUACACACAAAUCAAUACAACUUAUAAAUAGUGCUAUCUCAUACAUUACAUUGUCACUUUGUUUGCAGGCAUUUAUCAAAUAUGUAUAUUUUGUGUGUGUGCGUGUGGUUUAAACCAUCUGUGGUGCAUCUAGAUGGGCCGUUGUAAUGGGGGUUUUAAAUGUUUAGAAGACACCUGGCAAAUACGCCUGAGGCUUGAGAAACGGCACAAAGGCACUUGAUGCAAGAGUACUUUUUGAGCAGAGGUGGUCUACUUCAUGAAUCAGCUUUUGACAAAGCUCAUUUAACUGCCCUAUUGUGUAUGCAGUAGUGUGAAUAGAUGGAUCAGUAAAUCACACACGACCACAAGUGAGUGAACACUACUGCCCCCCCCCCCCCCCCC